rnacentral:rRNA from 1 species
AGUGAACGCUGGCGGUAGGCCUAACACAUGCAAGUCGAACGGCAGCACAGGAGAGCUUGCUCUCUGGGUGGCGAGUGGCGGACGGGUGAGGAAUACAUCGGAAUCUACUCUGUCGUGGGGGAUAACGUAGGGAAACUUACGCUAAUACCGCAUACGACCUACGGGUGAAAGCAGGGGACCUUCGGGCCUUGCGCGAUGGAAUGAGCCGAUGUCGGAUUAGCUAGUUGGCGGGGUAAAGGCCCACCAAGGCGACGAUCCGUAGCUGGUCUGAGAGGAUGAUCAGCCACACUUGAACGGAGACACGGUCCGGAGUCCUCCGGGAGGCAGCAGUGGGGAAUAUUGGACAAUGGGCGCAAGCCUGAUCCAGCCAUACCGCGUGGGUGAAGAAGGCCUUCGGGUUGUAAAGCCCUUUUGUUGGGAAAGAACACCGGAUGGCUAAUACCCGGUUGGGAUGACGGUACCCAAAGAAUAAGCACCGGCUAACUUCGUGCCAGCAGCCGCCGUAA